GUCUCGAUAGCUCAGUUGGGAGAGCAUUCGACUGAAGAUCAGUCUUUCAGCUAGGAUUAACUCCUGCGAUUCGAAAGGUCCCUGGUUCGAUCCCGGGUCUGGACA